UACAGAGGUCUCAAGCGUUGUUCGGAUUCAUUGGGCGUAAAGGGUGCGUAGGUGGUUUCUUAAGUCUGAUGUGAAAGCCCACGGCUCAACCGUGGAGGGUCAUUGGAAACUGGGGAACUUGAGUGCAGGAGAGAAGAGUGGAAUUCCACGUGUAGCGGUGAAAUGCGUAGAGAUGUGGAGGAACACCAGUGGCGAAGGCGACUCUUUGGCCUGUAACUGACGCUGAGGCACGAAAGCGUGGGGAGCAAACAGG
rnacentral:rRNA from 1 species